rnacentral:rRNA from 1 species
GAUGAACGCUAGCUACUGGCUUAACACAUGCAAGUCGAAGGGAAACGACAUCGAAAGCUUGCUUUUGAUGGGCGUCGACCGGCGCACGGGUGAGUAACGCGUAUCCAACCUGCCCACCACUUGGGGAUAACCUUGCGAAAGUAAGACUAAUACCCAAUGACGUCUCUAGAAGACAUCUGAAGGAGAUUAAAGAUUUAUCGGUGAUGGAUGGGGAUGCGUCUGAUUAGCUUGUUGGCGGGGUAACGGCCCACCAAGGGGACGAUCAGUAGGGGUUCUGAGAGGAAGGUCCCCCACAUUGGAACUGAGACACGGUCCAAACUCCUACGGGAGGCAGCAGUGAGGAAUAUUGGUCAAUGGGCGAGAGCCUGAACCAGCCAAGUAGCGUGCAGGAUGACGGCCCUAUGGGUUGUAAACUGCUUUUAUAAGGGAAUAAAGUGAGUCUCGUGAGACUUUUUGCAUGUACCUUAUGAAUAAGGACCGGCUAAUUCCGUGCCAGCAGCCGCCGUAA